rnacentral:lncRNA from 1 species
AGAAAACUUAGUAGUCAUUAAUAUCUGCUAUUUGUGGUUUGUUCCUUUAUCUUUUCUCCACACAGGUAGAUGAAGUAAGCUUUGUUGUAGAAGAUUCCAGAGUUUCUUCUUUAAGUGUAUUCUCUUGGAAAAGUAAGACCUGAGUUGAGAUACGCGCUUGCGCACUCAAAAAGUUUACCUGACACUUCAUAUGAAGGUGUGCUGAUACAAGGUAUCUGGAGCAUCUACUCAGCAAAUGGUGGGGCAAGUGUUAACAGUCCUCUGCAUUGAGACCUCAGCUGCACCUACUGAUUGCUGAGAUUUUCAGCCCAGCAGCCCUGGUAUCUUGGGAAAUGUUUUCCUGUUGCACGAAGGAACUCUUCAGGUGUCCCCGUGUUCUGGAAUUUCAAGCAACAGAGCUGCUGAGAAUUAACAGAGCAAAAAAUACGUAUGUAGCAGUGUGAUUAGUGACUUCAGUGUUGGAAUCACAUUGUCCGGCAGGCAUGAGCACCCUGUGCUCCCCUCAGCCACACGGUGGAUCAGGGAGGAGCUGCCUCCCUUACAGAACAUCUUGGCUUUUGCAGUCUUCUGUGAACCUUCUAGACUUUUU